GAUGAACGCUGGCGGCGUGCCUAAUACAUGCAAGUCGAGCGAAUGAUGAGGAGCUUGCUCCUCUGAUUUAGCGGCGGACGGGUGAGUAACACGUGGGUAAUCUGCCUGUAAGACGGGGAUAACUCCGGGAAACCGGGGCUAAUACCGGAUAACAAGAGAAGAAGCAUUUCUUCUUUUUGAAAGUCGGUUUUGGCUGACACUUACAGAUGAGCCCGCGGCGCAUUAGCGAGUUGGUGAGGUAACGGCUCACCAAGGCGACGAUGCGUAGCCGACCUGAGAGGGUGAUCGGCCACACUGGGACUGAGACACGGCCCAGACUCCUACGGGAGGUAGCAGUAGGGAAUCUUCGGCAAUGGGCGAAAGCCUGACCGAGCAACGCCGCGUGAGCGAUGAAGGCCUUCGGGUCGUAAAGCUCUGUUGUUAGAGAAGAACAAGUACGAGAGUAACUGCUCGUACCUUGACGGUACCUAACCAGAAAGCCACGGCUAACUACGUGCCAGCAGCCGCCGUAA
rnacentral:rRNA from 1 species